UGAGCAAUCUGCCCUUCUCAUCGGAAUAAAGCGUUGGAAACGACGUCUAAUGCCGAAUACGACCUCCUUUCGCAUGAUCGGAGGUGGAAAGCUCCGGCGGAGAAGGAUGAGCUCGCGGCCUAUCAGCUAGUUGGUGUGGGUAAUGGCUCACCAAGGCGACGACGGGUAGCCGGCCUGAGAGGGUGACCGGCCACACUGGGACUGAGAUACGGCCCAGACUCCGUAGGAGG
rnacentral:rRNA from 1 species